rnacentral:rRNA from 1 species
GAUGAACGCUGGCGGCGUGCCUAACACAUGCAAGUCGAACGAUCAGACUCGAGGUUUGCUGAUCUGACGUGAGCGGCGGACGUGUGAGUCACACGUGGAUCACCUACCUAUAACACUGGUAUACCUUCGGGACACCGUAGCUAAUUCCGUACGAUAAGUGUCACCGCAUGGUUUUUUUGUGAAGGACUUCUUUGCUGUCACUGCUAGCUGGCUCCGCGCCGCAUUAGAUAGUUGGUACGGUAACGGCUUACCAAGGCAACGAUGCGUAGCCGACCUGCGAGAGUGAUAGGCCACACGGGAGCGGAGACACGCUCCAGACUACUACGGGAGGCAGCAGUAGGGAAUCGUCCGCAAUGGGCGGAAGCCUGACGGAGCAGCGCCGCGUGAGUGAUGAAGGUCUUCGGAUCGGAAAACUCGGUUUUUGGGGAAGAACAAAUGUGUAAGUAACAAUGCCCGAAGUGACGGUACCUAAACAGAAAGCAACGGCUAACUACGUG